ensembl:lncRNA
UAAACUAUUUAUUCUACCAACACGGAUGAGAAAAUAGAAAGAGGAUGAGAAGGUUUCCAAAAGAAAUUUUCGGCUGAAAUUAUUAAUUUUCCAACAUGCCGAGCAUUUUAGACUUGAAAUGGGAAUAUGAUUGACUGAUUCAUCCAAAUAAAUAAAUAAUAAUAAAUCUUCCGUUUACCAAUUAUCAAUAAAUGCACCAAUUGCAUCAAUUGUAGGUUACAUACUUAGUACGUGCCGUUAGGUGUGAAUGUUUUUGUGGUUUCUCCAGGUCUUGAGGCGAGAGCAGCAGGCUCAGCAGAGGGUGCACAGCGUGUUCAUAGCUCAGCUCAGAGAGUGCACAAGACUACUCUGCAAGGCUCACGACAACAAUCUCCAACAGAGUUUGACCCAGCGGCUGAGCGCCCUGGUAGAGGAGAUGGGAGAGCUGGUGUCAGCAGAGUGCCAGCGUCAGGGGGCCUGGGGGUUUCUGGGGGAGGGUACGGGGGCCAAGCUGCUCUGCCCUGACUCUGGAACCGUGCUGACCAAGGACCACAUCUUUGGUGAUGAUAUUAAAAAAACUCUUGCCUUGAAUUUUAGAAAAACAGCACCACCCGUUGCUUAAAAAUGUGCACUACAAGAAAAAAUGUAGAUAAAAGAAGUACACAAUUCUGUUCUGCAAUCAGCAAUCAUGCGAAUAUGCCCACAUGUUCCCAGUUUAGGGACAUACGUCCAAUUUUUACGGUACUGAAAACAUGCAUACCUAAUUAGCUAAUUCAAAAAGUAUAUUCCAAAAGUGGCUCUCCCACUGUAAUAUAGAGGUGUACAUAAACAAUAAAGACACAUAACCCUUUCACUUGACUAAACUUCAUCAAUCCAUUUAAAAACAAAUGAACAGUAAAAGCUGUCCACGCUUCAUGUGUCAUCUGUCAUAAUCAUCCACUGUUUGAUGAUCAAUCUUUUCCCGCCUUCCUUCAGCUCCUGAUGGAUCCAUGCAUCCUUGCAGGGCCCUUCAUUGGGAUUCAGUCACAGGGCUCUUAAGGCCGAAUGCUCACAGCCACAUGCUGCUGAGCAGCGGCCACAACGUGGCAGUGCCACCUGAUUUCUUCAUCAACCCACAGACCGGCAGAGUGAUGCCCAUAGCGGGCAACGUGGCCUACGACCCCGCAAGCUCUACUCUGGUUUCAACCACAGGCUCGUGUUCAGGAGACAGCAGGAAGUGGGACAGUCCCCUCCUUCCUUUCCUUCCUUACCCAACCUCCAGCCACUCAGAACAGCCUCUGUCCAACACUCGUCUUAGAGGCCUCAGGCCGGGCCAGCAGCUGCAACUGGGAGUUCCCAUGGCGGACCCGGACACAGGAGUGCCAGUGCCAAUUCUGGCUGUGACCAUCCACCCCCAGACAGGACUCGUCUACCCACUGGGCGGGGUGCACGUCUGUCCCCUCACCCGCCUGCUGCAGCCCAUACAGAUUGGCUACCCCAUGCUGGACUCCAAAACGGGGAACGUUGUGCUCACUGUUGGGGUCAGUCUGGAUCCAGCAUCAGGAGUUGUGCUGCCAGUCGGUGGAGUCCUGCUGGCGGAGUCCUUUAUUGAACCUCUAAGUGGCCGGAUGUUGAGAGUGGGAGGUGCAAUCAUGCAGACUGGGCAGCUGCUGCCUAACGCUGGUGGAUACCAGACCUUCCUAGACAGCAAGGUUCUGUCCGUGCUGUUCAAAGUGUUGGAGCUUCUGAAGACACUGACUGACGUGUGGGGAUCAGAUCAAAAUUUGCAGCACCAUCAGGGCAGCGAGAGAGGGAACGGCCGCCAAGAUCAUCUGGUAGCUGCAGCCAAAGAGCUCCAGCAGGCCUGGGGACGCAGCCUGCACUGCCAGAUGCAGCUGCAGACCAGGUUGGGUAUCCUCCUUGACUGGGCUGCAGGUCUGCAGAAGGAUGGCGGGACUUUGGGAGAGAUGCCUCUCCCAGGUUCAGAUGUGUGUGUGCCCGCUCUGCUGGGGAUGGAGUACCCUGACCCCAUGGGAUCUGGUCUGAGUGUGCCCGUGCUGGGGGGUCAGGCAGACUUUGUCUCUGGAAAAAUAAUACCGCUGGCCGGUACCAUGGAGGACCCCGAUGGAAAAGGCCUGGUGGCUAUCUGUUACGCUUCUCAGACUGUGGACCCGGUGACUGGGGUGUUGACCCCAGUGGUUGGAGCCAGGUUGGAUGCGUCCAGGAAACACGUUGUGCCAGUCACAGCCUCUUACUGGCUGACGGUGGCCAGUGAAACUGACAGUGUGCAGGUGGAGGCGCUGCAGAGGGAAGUGUGUGCGCGAAACACUUACUGGCAGCAGCAGAGGCAGCGGGAGGAAGAUGUUCUCUCUGACCUGGACUUAGCCGCCUUCCAAUGUCUCUUUAGAGUUACAGAAACAAAGUCUCAUCAGGUCCAGUGGUCGGGGAUGCAGCUGAAGGAAGCAGCCAUGGAACUGCAGGGUUCGGCGCAGAUGGAAGUACAAAGGAGAGCAGCUCGGCGCUCCCAGUUGGCUCUGAUCUUGCCUCUGCAUGUAUUGCACAUCCUCACGCAGGGUGACGAGGAAGCGUGGGAAAGGCAGUGUGCGUGGCACUCAGAGCUUGUGGCAGGCCUUGAUAAGCUGGAUGUAAGUAUGGAGCAGCUGCAACAAGACCAAGAAAAAUGGACAGCACAAGGAGGAGACUGGGCUUCAACCAUGCAUGCUACGGACAGAGAGCUGAGACAGCGAGAGUUGUGGGAGCAGUGUUGCUCCAGACUGACAGAGUUGGAAGCUGCUCUUAACGCACUGCAUUCUGUCAGACACCUCUCUCAACUCCGCGCAGACACUGCUCAGGCAGUGCUGUGUGGAAACUUUUGGUACAGGGAAUAUGGUCUGGUCAAGUGCAGUGGACACAGGCCGACUGUGGAGCGCAGGGGUUUGCUUCAACAGAUGGCUUUGCCUCUGCUGGAGAGACUGAACAAGCUCCUGGAAGACAAACAGCCUACCAGCUCCUCUCCCAACACCUGCAAUCAGCACAUUUCUGGUUUGUCGACAAAGCAGGCGUAUGGGUUGGAGAUAGCCUCUGGAGUCUGGACAGCCUCUGUUCCCAAAGUAACAGACACAAACCAGAGCUUCAUAGACGUCCUGGAUGCUCAGUGGGAAUGUGAAGGAGAGCUGAUCCCUUUGGACCUCUCUGUCCUUAACCCCAGAGAGCUUUUGGUCUACCAGCACGGACUGUUCCUCAUGCACACAUUGCAUGGUUUAAAACUGACACCAUCCAUUUCACUUCAGAUUGCAGCUAGUCUCCCAAACAACAGCUACCUAAAAAACGCCUUCAGAAACUCCUUCUUUUAUCAGGAGGCAGAGGGGACGCUCUUUGUCCGUCGCCAGAGGCUGAAGUCGGUUGGAGGUUUCUCCCUGCUGCUGCUCCACUGUCUGUCCCACAUCAAGAUACACAACAUGAGCUCGGACUCCAGUCCUGUCUUCCAGAGGCUUUUCUUCAAGGUACUGCAGGGAUGUUUGGGGGAGCUGUUUCAUGCCAGACUGGGUGUGACCUCCUCUGGACAGGAACACAGUCGGUCUGUGUUACAGGACCAAGAGACCCCAUCUGGAGUUUUAAAGAGGAGCCUUUCAGACUCCCAUGCUGCUUCACUGCUUUGCGGGUCUCAAACACCAAGCAGAGGAUUUCUGUCUGAAGAUGAAGUUGGGGAACUACAGAGGAAACACAGAGAGACCAGUCUGCUCACCCAUCUUGAAGGACUUUUGAGAGAGAAAAGCUCUCUGUGAGGGAAAUUCUUCUUCUUGAAAGAGAAGAAACAGGAGGGUUCUUUUAUUGCGAGCGUUAUGAGUGGCUCUUUUCAAAACUCUUUUUUUUCAGCUUCAGAAGCAAGCUGGCCACCCUAGACAAUGAAGGUCUCUAGAAUUUCUCUCCCCACAGUGGGUAAAAUUACCUUAACAUUAAUUAAAUUAGUUAAAGGAGGAGUAAAAAGGAGUAAAAAGGAGGCUUGCGCAAUAACUUCUACAAUCUAAUAGAAUCCAGC